GGGAUGACACAGUAGGAUAAGCUAAGCACACUGUUGGUUAUGUGUGCCCAAGCAUUGAGGCAGUCAAAGUAGGCAAAUCCGCUUUGAUAAUGCUGGGAUGUGAUGGGGAGCGAAAUUUAGUAGCGAAGUAGCUGAUUUCACACUGUCAAGAAAAGUCUCUAUCGAGGUUAAAGGUACCCGUACCGCAAACCGACACAGGUGGGUGAGGAGAGUAUCCUAAGGCCAGCGAGAGAACUGUUGUUAAGGAACUCGGCAAAAUGACCCCGUAACUUAGGGAUAAGGGGUGCCACCAUCAGGUGGCCGCAGAGAAUAGGCCCAAGCGACUGUUUACCAAAAACAUAGGUUUCUGCUAAGUCGCAAGACGAUGUAUAGGAGCUGACGCCUGCCCGGUGCUGGAAGGUUAAGGGGAUCUGUUAGAGCAAUCGAAGCAGUGAACUUAAGCCCCAGUAAACGGCGGCCGUAACUAUAACGGUCCUAAGGUAGCGAAAUUCCUUGUCGGGUAAGUUCCGACCCGCACGAAAGGCGUAACGAUUUGGGCACUGUCUCAACAACAGACUCGGUGAAAUUGUAAUUCCGGUGAAGAUGCCGGAUACCUGCGACAGGACGGAAAGACCCCAUGGAGCUUUACUGUAGCUUGACAUUGGGUCUUGGUACUACAUGUACAGGAUAGGUGGGAGGCUUUGAAACCAGGACGCCAGUUUUGGCGGAGCCAUCCU
rnacentral:rRNA from 1 species